GCGAGGGUGGCGGAACUGGCAGACGCGCAAGAUUUAGGAUCUUGUGUCGAAAGGCGUGGGGGUUCGAGUCCCUUCCCUCGCACCA
rnacentral:tRNA from 2 species